rnacentral:lncRNA from 1 species
UCUGAGCUUAAGGCAGCUGGUGCCACCUGGAUUCAGCUUGACGAGCCUGUCCUUGUUAUGGAUCUUGAGGGCCACAAGCUUCAGGCCUUUACCGGUGCCUACGCUGAGCUUGAAUCAACUCUUUCUGGUUUGAAUGUUCUUGUGGAGACCUACUUCGCUGAUAUCCCUGCUGAGGCAUACAAGACCCUAACAUCGUUGAAGGGUGUGACUGCCUUCGGGUUUGAUUUGGUUCGUGGCACCAAGACCCUUGAUUUGGUCAAGGCUGGUUUCCCAGAGGGAAAAUACCUCUUUGCUGGUGUUGUUGAUGGAAGGAACAUCUGGGCCAAUGACUUUGCUGCGUCUCUAAGCACCUUGCAGGCACUUGAGGGCAUUGUUGGUAAAGGUAAUAUGUUUGUCCAGAAUCAUUUGCGUUUUACCUGAAAAUAUUGGGAAUUACUGAAAACAUAUAAUUGAAAUGCUUAUCUGUUAUCUUUUUGUAUUUAUGCAGACAAGCUUGUGGUCUCAACCUCCUGCUCCCUUCUCCACACCGCUGUUGAUCUUAUCAACGAGACCAAGCUUGAUGAUGAAAUCAAGUCAUGGAUGGCGUUUGCUGCCCAGAAGGUCAUUGAAGUGAAUGCAUUGGCCAAGGCUUUGGCUGGUCAGAAGGAU